GAAAUUCUUAUUUAGUAUAUUGGCCCUUGUGGCCUUUGCUAGAGCUGUGGCCUUAUUUAAUUUUACUGAUGAUGGGGAAUGCAAAGGAUUUAAUAGGUUGAAUCGAUCAUCAGUUCAGCCAUUGGAUCUCUUCUUCAAAAUGAAAAAAGAAAAUUCAUACAGGUAGAAACCUAUUUCUUUCAUAAAUGGUGGAUUCUUCAGCCGGCCAGUGUCAAAGAUCUAGUCAUCCAUCUGGUGAAUGAAGGACGUCUUGAAAUUGUCGGCGGUGCUUGGAGUAUGAACGACGAAGCCGCCGCUCAUUGCCAUUCAACCAUCGAUCAGUUUACCUUGGGUCUGCGUUUCCUGGAAGACAACAUCGGGAAAUGUGCCAGACCGAAGAGCGGAUGGCAAUUAGAUCCUUUCGGGCACAGCCGCGAACAAGCCUCCAUUUUCACGCAAUUGGGAUAUGAGAGUUUCUAUUUUACCAGGAUAGAUUACAGGGACAAGAACAAGAGAACGGAAAAGGGCAAUUUGGACUUGUUAUGGACCGGCAACGCCAACUUCUAAAGUAAAUUUGUUUUCAAUUUAAUGUACAAUACUUACAGGAUCCGAUUCAAAUAUUUUUACAUCUGCCUUCUUUGAUAUGUAUUGGACCCCUGCUGGUUUCAAUUUUGAUAUCAGGUGUUGCGGUGGUACUGAAAUUAUAAUGGACGAAAAUAGUCCGGAAUACAAUUUUGAAAGAAGAGUUAAUGAAUUCGUUGAGCACAUCAAAAAACAGUACAAAAAAUAUCCAAAAAUCUUAUAUUUACAAUGGGUAGUGAUUUUGCUUCUGAAGCUGCCGAAAGAACCUUUAAUCGCAUAGACAGACUUUUAGCAGGUUUCCAAAAAUUUAAGCCUAAAGUUGACGAUUUAGAAAUAAAUGCUUUUUAUUCUUCGCCCAACUGCUACGUAAAAGCAGUAAACGAUUAUGUAAAAAGUAAAAACACAGUUCUUGAAGUCAAAACUGAUGAUUUCAUGCCUUAUGCGGACAGUGCCAACAAAGUUUGGUCAGGCUAUUUCACAUCCAGGCCAACAUCCAAACGAUACGAAAGAACUACCAACAAUCUUCUCCAGGUGACAAGGCAACUGACGACAUUCGCUGAUUUACCACACGGAACCAACUUCCCAACUGAAGAUGCCAUGGGAAUCAUGUAGCAUCAUGACGCUAUUACCGGAACUGAAAAGACCGCUGUCGAGAAGGAUUAUCACAGAAUUCUAACAAAUAGUGUAGAUGUAGCUGUGGAAAAUGUCAACAAAGCUUUCAAGAAGAUCCUUAAUCAAGACUUGAACUUGAAACAUUGCAAACUUGCCAAUGUCAGUAUCUGCGACGACAGCCACAACGACGAAUUCAAUGUCUUGUAACUGGAACUGGCUGGGCAGUAACUGAUCCCGAAGGUUAUGAUGUGGAAGUUGCUAUAAGUGUUCCAACAAAGGAUUUCAGUUAUAUUCCCGAUGAAAAUCUUCAUACAAACGUAUUGAUCUUUCAAGCUGAAGAUUUGCCAGCUUUAGGUUACAAAGCCAUCAUAUUAAGAAAACUAAACUAUCUACUCCGUUUGAAGAAACGAAACUUGAGCUGACUGAAGACCAACAAAUUGGUUUCGAAGACACAUAUGUGAUUAUUGAUAGUUCUUCCAAUCUUAUUAAGUAAAUGACAAUCAAUGGAGUAACUCUAAAUGUGAAACCAGAAAUGAUGUACUACAAGAGUGCUGCAGAAUCUGGUGCUUACAUUUUUAGAACUGACUAAAAUGAUAGAGAUGCCAAAGCCUUUACUCCCAAACCAGAAAACACAUUGCUGGUUAACUCAAGAAACGUUGUAAGAGAAAUUAAACAAGUAUUCAGUGAUUGGGCACAGCAAGUUAUUAGAAUUUACAAAUACGAAGACUUCAUCGAAUUUGAUUGGAUUGUCGGUCCUAUUGAUACCACUGACACAAACGGUAAGGAAGUCCUGUACCUUGAGGUACACCACAUCACUGGAAACCAACAAUUAUUUCUACACCGAUUCAAAUGGUAGAGAAAUGAUCGAGAGGAAAAAGGAUUUUAGGCCUACGUAAAACUACACCAGUGAAGAGCUACAAGCUAAUAACUACUACCCAGUUACAGCUCGUAUCACUAUCAAUGAUGGAACAAACGAAUUUGCCGUGUUGAAUGACAGAUCCCAAGGAGGAAACAGUUUGGACGUUGGACAAGUCGAACUUAUGGUUCACAGAGCAUUUAAUAAAGAUGACGGUAAAGGUGUGGAUGAGAAUCUCAAUGAACAAGAAUACCAAAGAGGUUUAGUGGCAAGAGGAUCUCAUUUCGUUACAUUGGGAGAUAAGACGAAAGGAAAUGGUAAAAAAUCUAUGGCAGUGUUGGAACGCGAUAUCGCCCAUAGAGUACUUCUUGCUCCGUAGGUGUUUUAUACCACAACAGACAUUCCGACUAAAUCAAAAUCGUUUUUGAAAAAGGCACUGCCAGAACCUCUACAUCUUCUAACUAUUGACAAAUGGGUUGGAGAUGAUAACAAGUAUCUUCUACGCUUGGAGCAGACAUUGGAGAAAAGCGAUGAUGAAAAUCUAUCCAAAGAAGUCACAGUUGAUCUAUCUAUUUGUUUGAUGGAAUUUACAUCAAAUCAUUGGAGGAAUACUUGUUAGGUGCCAACACCUAUCACCGAAGCCACCAGAUUCCAUUGGCCUCAGAUAGUGACAGAAGAAAUGGGUGUUCUCAGUAUAAAGGAACGUCAGCGAAGGGAUGCAAGCGAUACUAACAUCACAAUGGCUCCCAUGCAGAUUAGAACAUUUGUUGCUCUGAGUGAUGACAAAAGUUUAAUGGAGUUUCCGUUGACCCGUUUUGCAUGUUACCUUAUGUAGUUACGUUUAUUUUUAAAUAUUGAUUUUAAUUGUUUUUAAUAAUUUAAAAUUAUUUUUGUUUUACAAGUAUGUA